rnacentral:snoRNA from 1 species
UUCCUAGCCAAGGAAGGGCAAAUUCUUAUUUAUUGGCAAACCUGCUACCAGUUAAUCGGUAUCAGAUUCUGACUUGCACAAGUACCAUUC